AGCUACCUCACAUCUCUUCUUUCAUUUAAACCUGGUAGCUACAGAACACGAUCCAGUAACUAUCUAACCUUAGAUAUUCCAUAUACCCGUACUAAUAUUGGCAGAACUGGUUUCAAUUACUAUGCUCCCUUGAAAUGGAAUGAGCUGCAAACCGCUCUUAAACUGGAGCUUUUUUUUCAUCUUGGAGAUUUUAAAUACCUGUUGUCUGAUGUUUACAAUAGUCGCUGUAACUGUUUUAACUGGUUCUUUUUUUGUUUGUUUGUUUGUUUGUAUGCUGUGUUGUGUGUUGAUUGUGAAUGUUCCUUGUUCUCAGGCCUCUCUUGUAUGAGAGAUCUCGAUCUCAAUGAGACUGCCUGAUAAAAAAUGAAAAUAAAGAUAUGUUGAUACAAAUUUCACGACAAGACAGAUUAGCACAUUGCUGAAUACGUCAGACGUGAUAAUCAGUCAUUUGUAUCCUUUGCCUAAAGGAGUGCGGUUUUAAGCAGCAUACGGUUGAGCAGGGUUUUAGGACAGAGGUCUGGGUCUGGAGGUCAGCGUCCUGCUCCUCAGACCUUUCCUUGGAUUCCAGGCGUUCACACACACUGAGGACAGUAAAUCUCAAUUGGGAGACCAGGGUUGAGGCAUGAGUAAUUAUUUAGAUGGUCAGUGAUAGAGUCAGUUUGAAAGGUAAUGAACAACUCUGUCUCUGUUCUUGGCAUUGACCAGUUGAGAAGAGCCAGAGGUUUGGGCCAACCUCCGGUUGUGUAACCUGAAAGUCCAAACAAGUCUAGAGAAAUGUAUAGGAUCCUGUGUCCUGGGACCAGGUGAGGAACUUUCCCCGCGAGGAAGGAAGGUGUGAGUUUCACACACUGGCUUGUCUCGACGCUACGUUGUGAUUUACCGGUGUACACUGUAAAGCAGCACAGAGCCUCUAUUACAGAGCUGCCAGAGCAGUAGGUGGCAGUGGCAGGGUUUUCCACCAGCAAUGGACAAAGACCGACCAGGAAGUUUGGUGUAGCUAAAGUUGCAAGGACCCAACUUUUCAACAUAGCUUUGUUUGCUGACGUUGCUUCCCCUGUCACUCCUUGACCUGGCGCAGAAGGCUCAAUUUGGGUCUCCUGGAGUGCUGUUGGCGUAAGUGAGAUGAAAUGGACCGUUAGCGGGAGGCACAGUGCGGAGAGUGUGUGUCUGCCCUCCCACCUCCGUGCAGCAUCGCUUCUCGGCCUUUUGGCUAAGAUCAAGUGUAGUAUCUGUUCUUAUCAGUUUAAUAUCUGAUACGUCCCCUACCCGGGGACCAUAUAUUAAAUUGAUUUUUGGAGCUGGGAGAUGGAAUAGGGGCUUGCUCCGUCCACUCCACGCAUCGACCUGGUAUUGCAGCACCUCCAGGAACGGUGCACCCCCCUCUCUGUGGUGAAAUGACAAAGGUUGCUGUGUCUGGGUCAGCUGCUGUUGAGAAUCUUUGCAAAGGCCGCGAUCCGCCUGUCUUGUUUUAAUGCGCCAGAGUCCGCAUUCUAUGGGUGCCAUGCGCUAUGACAAAGAUUUGGAUGGUCUAACCAGUGCGUGGUCACCAGUGGGUUGAGCUGACGCAGUCAAGAAACACUAAGUCUGCAGUCAGUCAGCUUUUGUUUGUGUUAACUGAUGCAAAAAUACCUAGCUUGCGCUGCAGCAUUGUAAACUGUAAGGCAGUUUCAAGCCUUGCUGGGCAGUUCCUUGUGACAUAUGGUUUUGUGGACCCCUCCCCCCACACACACACACACAAACACCCUUUGACUUAGAUGGUCAGCACCAUCGGUCAGUGUGAUAUGGCAGUGAAUGCGUUGCGUGUCUCUGAGCUCUGCAACUCAUACUUACCUGGCAGGGGAGAUACCAUGAUCACGAAGGUGGUUCACCCAGGGCGAGGCUCAGCCAUUGCACAUCCGGUUGUGCUGACCCUUGCGAAUUCCCCAAAUGUGGGAAUCUCGACUGCAUAAUUUCUGGUAGUGGGGGACUGCGUCCGCGCUCUCCCCUGAUCUCAUGUGGAAAGAAAAGAGUGGCCUCAGGUCUCUGCCUGUCCGGCCCUCACGGGCCCCGGACCGACCGACAUCGGCGAGCACCCGGUAAGCAUCCCCUGCUCCGGUCAGAUCCUGAUGCCACAGCCAUCCUGCUUGCAAUGGAAACACGGCUGCAGCCCCAUCAACUCUUCAGCUCUUAAAUCCUGUGUAUCACAGUGCACUACGUCUCACUGCUAACGACACAUUUCGCACUCAUCACUGUUCCCUCUAUUAAAAGGUUGCCUGGACCUCUUUACAGUCCAGACGCAAUAUCCGUCUCAUGUUAUUCAUCUAUAAAGCCCUUCUGCUGAAGCCUCCCAGCUACCUCACAUCUCUUCUUUCAUUUAAACCUGGUAGCUACAGAACACGAUCCAGUAACUAUCUAACCUUAGAUAUUCCAUAUACCCGUACUAAUAUUGGCAGAACUGGUUUCAAUUACUAUGCUCCCUUGAAAUGGAAUGAGCUGCAAACCGCUCUUAAACUGGAGCUUUUUUUUCAUCUUGGAGAUUUUAAAUACCUGUUGUCUGAUGUUUACAAUAGUCGCUGUAACUGUUUUAACUGGUUCUUUUUUUGUUUGUUUGUUUGUUUGUAUGCUGUGUUGUGUGUUGAUUGUGAAUGUUCCUUGUUCUCAGGCCUCUCUUGUAUGAGAGAUCUCGAUCUCAAUGAGACUGCCUGAUAAAAAAUGAAAAUAAAGAUAUGUUGAUACAAAUUUCACGACAAGACAGAUUAGCACAUUGCUGAAUACGUCAGACGUGAUAAUCAGUCAUUUGUAUCCUUUGCCUAAAGGAGUGCGGUUUUAAGCAGCAUACGGUUGAGCAGGGUUUUAGGACAGAGGUCUGGGUCUGGAGGUCAGCGUCCUGCUCCUCAGACCUUUCCUUGGAUUCCAGGCGUUCACACACACUGAGGACAGUAAAUCUCAAUUGGGAGACCAGGGUUGAGGCAUGAGUAAUUAUUUAGAUGGUCAGUGAUAGAGUCAGUUUGAAAGGUAAUGAACAACUCUGUCUCUGUUCUUGGCAUUGACCAGUUGAGAAGAGCCAGAGGUUUGGGCCAACCUCCGGUUGUGUAACCUGAAAGUCCAAACAAGUCUAGAGAAAUGUAUAGGAUCCUGUGUCCUGGGACCAGGUGAGGAACUUUCCCCGCGAGGAAGGAAGGUGUGAGUUUCACACACUGGCUUGUCUCGACGCUACGUUGUGAUUUACCGGUGUACACUGUAAAGCAGCACAGAGCCUCUAUUACAGAGCUGCCAGAGCAGUAGGUGGCAGUGGCAGGGUUUUCCACCAGCAAUGGACAAAGACCGACCAGGAAGUUUGGUGUAGCUAAAGUUGCAAGGACCCAACUUUUCAACAUAGCUUUGUUUGCUGACGUUGCUUCCCCUGUCACUCCUUGACCUGGCGCAGAAGGCUCAAUUUGGGUCUCCUGGAGUGCUGUUGGCGUAAGUGAGAUGAAAUGGACCGUUAGCGGGAGGCACAGUGCGGAGAGUGUGUGUCUGCCCUCCCACCUCCGUGCAGCAUCGCUUCUCGGCCUUUUGGCUAAGAUCAAGUGUAGUAUCUGUUCUUAUCAGUUUAAUAUCUGAUACGUCCCCUACCCGGGGACCAUAUAUUAAAUUGAUUUUUGGAGCUGGGAGAUGGAAUAGGGGCUUGCUCCGUCCACUCCACGCAUCGACCUGGUAUUGCAGCACCUCCAGGAACGGUGCACCCCCCUCUCUGUGGUGAAAUGACAAAGGUUGCUGUGUCUGGGUCAGCUGCUGUUGAGAAUCUUUGCAAAGGCCGCGAUCCGCCUGUCUUGUUUUAAUGCGCCAGAGUCCGCAUUCUAUGGGUGCCAUGCGCUAUGACAAAGAUUUGGAUGGUCUAACCAGUGCGUGGUCACCAGUGGGUUGAGCUGACGCAGUCAAGAAACACUAAGUCUGCAGUCAGUCAGCUUUUGUUUGUGUUAACUGAUGCAAAAAUACCUAGCUUGCGCUGCAGCAUUGUAAACUGUAAGGCAGUUUCAAGCCUUGCUGGGCAGUUCCUUGUGACAUAUGGUUUUGUGGACCCCUCCCCCCACACACACACACACACAACACACCCUUUGACUUAGAUGGUCAGCACCAUCGGUCAGUGUGAUAUGGCAGUGAAUGCGUUGCGUGUCUCUGAGCUCUGCAACUCAUACUUACCUGGCAGGGGAGAUACCAUGAUCACGAAGGUGGUUCACCCAGGGCGAGGCUCAGCCAUUGCACAUCCGGUUGUGCUGACCCUUGCGAAUUCCCCAAAUGUGGGAAUCUCGACUGCAUAAUUUCUGGUAGUGGGGGACUGCGUCCGCGCUCUCCCCUGAUCUCAUGUGGAAAGAAAAGAGUGGCCUCAGGUCUCUGCCUGUCCGGCCCUCACGGGCCCCGGACCGACCGACAUCGGCGAGCACCCGGUAAGCAUCCCCUGCUCCGGUCAGAUCCUGAUGCCACAGCCAUCCUGCUUGCAAUGGAAACACGGCUGCAGCCCCAUCAACUCUUCAGCUCUUAAAUCCUGUGUAUCACAGUGCACUACGUCUCACUGCUAACGACACAUUUCGCACUCAUCACUGUUCCCUCUAUUAAAAGGUUGCCUGGACCUCUUUACAGUCCAGACGCAAUAUCCGUCUCAUGUUAUUCAUCUAUAAAGCCCUUCUGCUGAAGCCUCCCAGCUACCUCACAUCUCUUCUUUCAUUUAAACCUGGUAGCUACAGAACACGAUCCAGUAACUAUCUAACCUUAGAUAUUCCAUAUACCCGUACUAAUAUUGGCAGAACUGGUUUCAAUUACUAUGCUCCCUUGAAAUGGAAUGAGCUGCAAACCGCUCUUAAACUGGAGCUUUUUUUUCAUCUUGGAGAUUUUAAAUACCUGUUGUCUGAUGUUUACAAUAGUCGCUGUAACUGUUUUAACUGGUUCUUUUUUUGUUUGUUUGUUUGUUUGUAUGCUGUGUUGUGUGUUGAUUGUGAAUGUUCCUUGUUCUCAGGCCUCUCUUGUAUGAGAGAUCUCGAUCUCAAUGAGACUGCCUGAUAAAAAAUGAAAAUAAAGAUAUGUUGAUACAAAUUUCACGACAAGACAGAUUAGCACAUUGCUGAAUACGUCAGACGUGAUAAUCAGUCAUUUGUAUCCUUUGCCUAAAGGAGUGCGGUUUUAAGCAGCAUACGGUUGAGCAGGGUUUUAGGACAGAGGUCUGGGUCUGGAGGUCAGCGUCCUGCUCCUCAGACCUUUCCUUGGAUUCCAGGCGUUCACACACACUGAGGACAGUAAAUCUCAAUUGGGAGACCAGGGUUGAGGCAUGAGUAAUUAUUUAGAUGGUCAGUGAUAGAGUCAGUUUGAAAGGUAAUGAACAACUCUGUCUCUGUUCUUGGCAUUGACCAGUUGAGAAGAGCCAGAGGUUUGGGCCAACCUCCGGUUGUGUAACCUGAAAGUCCAAACAAGUCUAGAGAAAUGUAUAGGAUCCUGUGUCCUGGGACCAGGUGAGGAACUUUCCCCGCGAGGAAGGAAGGUGUGAGUUUCACACACUGGCUUGUCUCGACGCUACGUUGUGAUUUACCGGUGUACAC
rnacentral:lncRNA from 1 species